rnacentral:rRNA from 1 species
CCUACGGGGGGCUGCAGUGGGGAAUAUUGGACAAUGGGGGGAACCCUGAUCCAGCCAUGCCGCGUGUGUGAAGAAGGCCCUCGGGUUGUAAAGCACUUUCAGUGAGGAAGAACGCCUGGUGGUUAAUACCCAUCAGGAAAGACAUCACUCACAGAAGAAGCACCGGCUAACUCCGUGCCAGCAGCCGAGGUAAUACGGAGGGUGCGAGCGUUAAUCGGAAUUACUGGGCGUAAAGCGCGCGUAGGUGGCUUGAUAAGCCGGUUGUGAAAGCCCCGGGCUCAACCUGGGAACGGCAUCCGGAACUGUCAAGCUAGAGUGCAGGAGAGGAAGGUAGAAUUCCCGGUGUAGCGGUGAAAUGCGUAGAGAUCGGGAGGAAUACCAGUGGCGAAGGCGGCCUUCUGGACUGACACUGACACUGAGGUGCGAAAGCGUGGGUAGCAAACAGGAUUAGAUACCCCAGUAGUC